GGCGGUAUAGCUCAGGGGCUAGAGCGGAGAUCUCAUAAGUCUUAGGUCGGAGGUUCGAAUCCUCCUACCGCCA
rfam:Hydrogenobaculum sp. Y04AAS1, complete genome.